GACGAACACUGGCGGCGUGCUUAACACAUGCAAGUCGGACGGAAAGGCCCUGCUUUUGUGGGGUGCUCGAGUGGCGAACGGGUGAGUAACACGUGAGUAACCUGCCCUUGACUUUGGGAUAACUUCAGGAAACUGGGGCUAAUACCGGAUAGGAGCUCCUGCUGCAUGGUGGGGGUUGGAAAGUUUCGGCGGUUGGGGAUGGACUCGCGGCUUAUCAGCUUGUUGGUGGGGUAGUGGCUUACCAAGGCUUUGACGGGUAGCCGGCCUGAGAGGGUGACCGGCCACAUUGGGACUGAGAUACGGCCCAGACUCCUACGGGAGGCAGCAGUGGGGAAUAUUGCACAAUGGGCGGAAGCCUGAUGCAGCAACGCCGCGUGCGGGAUGACGGCCUUCGGGUUGUAAACCGCUUUCGCCUGUGACGAAGCGUGAGUGACGGUAAUGGGUAAAGAAGCACCGGCUAACUACGUG
rnacentral:rRNA from 1 species